GACGUAGGAGGCAAGCGUUAUCCGGAUUUAUUGGGCGUAAAGGGCAAGUAGGCGGUUCUCAAAGUUGGGCGUGACAUCUCCCGGCUCAACCGGGAGGGUGCGUUCAAAACUAGAGGACUAGAGGGCAGGAGAGGGAAGUGGAAUUCCCAGUGUAGCGGUGGAAUGCUCAGAUAUUGGGAAGAACACCAGUGGCGAAGGCGGCUUCCUGGCCUGCACCUGACGCUGAGAGGCGAAAGCUAGGGUAGCAAACGGGCUUAGAUACCCCCGUAGUCCCUCGAGCGGG
rnacentral:rRNA from 1 species